rnacentral:lncRNA from 1 species
AUUUAAAAUAUUUUCAUAUAAAAACUGAAUAUUAGUAAAGAAAUAAUAAAUGCCAACUAGUUUUUUUCUCUCGUUUUAAUAAUUUGUUUAAAACAUUUAGUCAGAUUUAUGUUUAAAUUAUAAAGACAUUCUGAAAACCCAACUACUUUGCAUCCCAAGUGGCCUAAUGCAUAUUGUUACUAUUGUUCAAAGUACUGUUUACAUACGUGAUUUGUCAUGGUGACAUUGCCUAAUGCAACUGAAAGCAUUAAUAAAAGCACGCGUGCGAGUCUAUUGUGAUACAUUAUGAUGUUCCAGGUAUGUGUUUACAAUGAGAGACACGAGAAACACGUUUGUUCUGUUUCCCCCAGCAGGAGAAGGAGUGUAAAGGUUCUCCUCUCUCUCUCGUCUCUCUCUCUCUCUCUCUCUCUCUCUCUCUCUCUCUCUCUCUGUAAAGUUCUUUAACCUGUCUUAUCGCAGCUAUUGUUAGCGGUUUGUCCGUGGGUGCCGGUAAAUAAGGCAGCGGCAGCGGCAGCUAAUUCCCUUGACAUUUACACAUCUCUCACGGUGACUCACUUUCGGCUGGAAGGUAGAGAGAAAGCCAAAGUUAUCAAAAGACGGAUUUAUUGUUAUUCAUCCCUUCGUGGGGUUCAUAAACCGCGCUAGUCCCGUGUGUGUAUCUCGCCAUCCACGCCCACGCACUCGCUGUUGUUGACAGUGCCUGGCGUUCUUUCCUACAUUUACCUCAGUGACUGUAAUCUCAGAGAGCGCGUCAGCGUACCGGCUAGUGCGUCAUAAGAGGAAGCAUCACCUCACGGCGAGUGCACAGCCGUCGCGCGGCAAACGGAACACAGCACUGCCAUCUAUCUCAUGCUGCUGCUCUAAACAAAUCCCUGUCUCUAAUCCUCAAAUGCAACCAUUUACAUUCCCUUUCAAGGUCCGACAACAAAGGAAUGCUACACUAAGGCGGCUCGAGGUCACAUCUGACAUUGGCUAUCUCCCAUUUCUCGUCACCAUCUAUCAGUGGCCACAUGACACAGCAGUAUCUCCAAGCAACGUACAGUGAAUUCAGCAAAAGGUGAAAACACUGGGAGUGUGUUAAACUCACACGUACACAAAGUGUGAACACCGAGAUUACACAGAUAAACAUGAUAUUGCUUUUUCCUUAAGAGGGUAGAGGUUCAAAGCAAGUUCAACUGACACUGAAAAGGCAGUAGGGCUUUGAAAGUCUCAUUACCAAUAUAAGAUGUACUUACUGCAGAAUAUUGUGGAAUAAAAGAAAAAAAAGUAAAAAACAAAUAUUUAUUAUUAAUACUGUCUGUCAUUUUAAAACUAAAUUUUGCUUUAGUUGCAGUGGACAGCACUAAAAGUGCAGUGCUGUGAAACGAUUGAAUAUUUCCAGUCACCUGAUGCAAAGCCAGCUCCAUUCAUCCAAAUGUCAUCACUGCCAAGUUUAGAAAUUUCCCUUCCGUUUCAUCGUAGACAGUCGCAGACAAAGGGACUGAAAUGUCAAUCGAGCCAGAGUGAUCAGUAGAUACAGGACAUAUCAGCUUGUGUCUUCAUGGACCAUUUCCCGUAGGUGAGCCCCAUCAUUUUGUGACAUCUAGAUGCUAAUCCAGCUCCAUGGGUGGAGCGGAGAAGACGAUUGAGCAGUCGAGCAUCAUAAGGUUUAAAAUUAACAGAUAAUUACAGUGUGUCUCAUAGAUUCUUGAUAUAUCUGAAUAGAUCGCUGGACGGGCUGCUGUUAAGAUUGAUUUGAUGGAGUCUGGAUGGCUACCUGUGGAGGAACAGUUGCGUAAUUAGCAUUUUGGAUGCUCAGUAACAGAAGUGAAAUUACUGCCAUUGAAGAUUUGUAAAUUUAAGAUAAAGAUUUCUGCUUUUUAAAGUUAAAACUUACAGGCAAAUAUUGUGUGAUUAGAAUUUGGAAUCCAGAGCACUAAAUGAUCUAACAGCAAUGCAAAGUAAAACGAAACUCUUUUGUAACUCCCUUUGUAACAUUUUGGUGUGCAAACAAGGAGUUGGCAAAGAAAAUUCUUAGUUCCAUCUAAUGCAUGACCCACUUUGUGGUUAUUUUGCAUUUCAGAGACUAGAUAUUC